rnacentral:rRNA from 1 species
GAUGAACGCUGGCGGCGUGCCUAAUACAUGCAAGUCGAGCGAACAGACGAGGAGCUUGCUCCUCUGACGUUAGCGGCGGACGGGUGAGUAACACGUGGAUAACCUACCUAUAAGACUGGGAUAACUUCGGGAAACCGGAGCUAAUACCGGAUAAUAUAUUGAACCGCAUGGUUCAAUAGUGAAAGACGGUUUUGCUGUCACUUAUAGAUGGAUCCGCGCCGCAUUAGCUAGUUGGUAAGGUAACGGCUUACCAAGGCAACGAUGCGUAGCCGACCUGAGAGGGUGAUCGGCCACACUGGAACUGAGACACGGUCCAGACUCCUACGGGAGGCAGCAGUAGGGAAUCUUCCGCAAAGGGCGAAAGCCUGACGGAGUAACGCCGCGUGAGUGAUGAAGGUCUUCGGAUCGUAAAACUCUGUUAUUAGGGAAGAACAAAUGUGUAAGUAACUAUGCACGUCUUGACGGUACCUAAUCAGAAAGCCACGGCUAACUACGUG